GGGGCAGCGGGGUAGUGCUUGCACUACUGCCGGCGACCGGCGCACGGGUGAGUAACACGUAUGGAACCUGCCCGCAGCAGGGGGAUAAGCGGAAGAAAUUCCGUCUAAUACCGCGUAAGAACGUUGGGAGGCAUCUCCCGAUGUUUAAAGAUUUAUCGGCUGCGGAUGGCCAUGCGGCGCAUUAGCUAGUCGGCGGGGUAACGGCCCACCGAGGCGACGAUGCGUAGGGGUUCUGAGAGGAAGGUCCCCCACACUGGUACUGAGACACGGACCAGACUCCUACGGGAGGCAGCAGUGAGGAAUAUUGGUCAAUGGCCGAGAGGCUGAACCAGCCAAGUCGCGUGAGGGAAGACGGCCCUACGGGUUGUAAACCUCUUUUGUCGGGGAGCAAAGCGAACCACGUGUGGUUCAUUGAGAGUACCCGAAGAAAAAGCAUCGGCUAACUCCGUGCCAGCAGCCGCGGUAAUACGGAGGAUGCGAGCGUUAUCCGGAUUUAUUGGGUUUAAAGGGUGCGCAGGCGGAGGUGCAAGUCAGCGGUCAAAUUGCGGGGCUCAACCCCGUACUGCCGUUGAAACUGCAUCCCUUGAGUGCGCGAGAAGUAUGCGGAAUGCGUGGUGUAGCGGUGAAAUGCAUAGAUAUCACGAAGACUUCGGAUUGGGAAGGCAGCAUACCGGCGCGCAACUGACGUUCAUGCACGAAAGCGUGGGUAUCGAACAGGAUUAGAUACCCUGGUAGUCCACGCAGUAAACGAUGAACACUAACUGUUCGGCCAGAAUGAUGGCUGAGUGGUACAGCGAAAGCGUUAAGUGUUCCACCUGGGGAGUACGCCGGCAACGGUGAAACUCAAAGGAAUUGACGGGGGCCCGCACAAGCGGAGGAACAUGUGGUUUAAUUCGAUGAUACGCGAGGAACCUUACCCGGGCUCAAACGACACAGGAAUACUUUUGAAAGGAGGUAGCCCUACGGGGUCUGUGUCGAGGUGCUGCAUGGUUGUCGUCAGCUCGUGCCGUGAGGUGUCGGCUUAAGUGCCAUAACGAGCGCAACCCCUAUCGCCAGUUACCAUCAAGUAAAGUUGGGGACUCUGGCGAGACUGCCGGCGCAAGCUGAGAGGAAGGCGGGGAUGACGUCAAAUCAGCACGGCCCUUACGUCCGGGGCGACACACGUGUUACAAUGGCAGGUACAGAGAGAAGCCAGGUGGUGACACCGAGCGGAACUCGAAAGCCUGUCUCAGUUCGGAUCGGAGUCUGCAACCCGACUCCGUGAAGCUGGAUUCGCUAGUAAUCGCGCAUC
rnacentral:rRNA from 1 species